rfam:Dipodomys ordii contig_58400, whole genome shotgun sequence.
GGUGGCUCAGUGGUAAAGCACUUGCCUUGCAUGCAUGAGGCCCUGGGUUCAAUUCCUCAGCACCA